rnacentral:rRNA from 1 species
GACGAACGCUGGCGGCGUGCUUAACACAUGCAAGUCGAACGGAAAGGCCCUGCUUUUGUGGGGUGCUCGAGUGGCGAACGGGUGAGUAGCACGUGAGUAACCUGCCCUUGACUUUGGGAUAACUUCAGGAAACUGGGGCCAAUACCGGAUAGGAGCUCCUGCUGCAUGGUGGGGGUUGGAAAGUUUCGGCGGUUGGGGAUGGACUCGCGGCUUAUCAGCUUGUUGGUGGGGUAGUGGCUUACCAAGGCUUUGACGGGUAGCCGGCCUGAGAGGGUGACCGGCCACAUUGGGACUGAGAUACGGCCCAGACUCCUACGGGAGGCAGCAGUGGGGAAUAUUGCACAAUGGGCGGAAGCCUGAUGCAGCAACGCCGCGUGCGGGAUGACGGCCUUCGGGUUGUAAACCGCUUUCGCCUGUGACGAAGCGUGAGUGACGGUAAUGGGUAAAGAAGCACCGGCUAACUACGUG